UCCCCUUUUUAUUUGAGAUAAUUUGCUUAAAUGUACAGCUAUUAUCUGUUAAUAUGGUGAAGGAUAAUUAGAAGGGACCAAAUUGGGGUUUGGCUGAGACUCACACACAGGCACAGAGCGGUGCAGAGUUCAACUCUUGAACCUUGCCCCUUGGGCUGAGAGCGUGUUUGUGCAGGUGAUCUUGGAGCAAACAGAGCGAUGUUAUCGGGGUGGAAAACACCUGACUCGAAAACAACACCGGGGGAAAAAAAAAAAGAAGAGAAGAAAAAAGUACUGGGAGGACUCCAGGCAAAUCUGAAUUCCUGCUUAAAAACAGAAAAGAACAGUAGAGGCCAAAUGUUUUUCUGGAGCGACUGCCAGGCUGGGAUGGCCAGCCAAAAACUGGGCCAAGGCUCUUCCAUAAAACCAGGAGAUGCUUUUCAUCCGCUGCCGAAAGAAAUCGGAGCCGGGCCAGCGUCGAUGCCCCGGAGGUGGAAGGAGUUGCAUGUAACAGUGUACCUCCUUGAGGUUCAGCCCAAGCCACGCAGCCGAGAGAUGGGAAUCGCUUUGACGGUGCUGAGCCCACCCUGCUGCUCCCGCUGCCAGGGUUUGCCUCCAUCAGGGUAUCUGGGCCGGCUCCAACACCAUGUGCAGUGGAUGGAGGGAUGCUUGGGCUGGGCUUCAGCUGCUUUGGAAGCCAAGGUGAUGCCCUGUGCCCCCACGCUGCGGGUCCUGGUUGGCAUCGGCAUCCCAAGGAGGAGCGAGAAGCAGCACCAGAGGAUGUGGCACGUGUUGAUGGUCCUGCAGGGUGCCUUGAAACACAGGUUAAAAAUUGGACCUGAUUUUCCUUCUCAGUUUACUGCUGCGAUAUUUUCCUAGAGACCAAGAUGAAUCAGAGCAUUGCAUCUCAUUUCGUACCGUCUAGAAUAUAUUUCCUGAAGAAUGUCAAGAGUGGUUUACUAUUGAGCAAUUAACCUGGAUGCUCUGGGUUAGGAGCUGCUGAGCAUCCAUCGAUCAUGAGAAAAUGCAGCAGGCGGGAGCGGGGAGGACGCCGGGCACCUGUGAGAGCAAAGCAGGUUUCCUUCUUUGCCUGCGUGGGUGGAGCGGAGGCCUCGGGCAGAAAGCCACCCAUCGAUUCCUUCCCCAAGCUUUGCAAUUUGGCCGGGUCACAGCUUGCACAAGAGGACGAGGGGUGACUCCGCUCACCUUGAGAGCGGCUGGAAGACGCCGUGGGAGCUGCAGCCCUCCUGCCAUCCUGCCCCGGCGGGAAUAGCUUUGCUCCGGCUCCGCGUCCAGGUUGCUUUCACCAGGUGAGGCGCAUCGGCGCUGCCCAAACGUGCUCUUUCGGGGGGUUGCACAGCGGAGCGACUGCUUGCACUGAGGUUAGGACCAGAAAAGAGAGGUACGUUGCCUAGUGUGACCUCCGCCGCAGCGGGAAGGGGAUGCGGAGGAGGAGGAGGAGGAGGAGCGGCUCCUGGAGUGAUGGCCCCUUAUUGCCUCUGCGGGC